CUCCUUCCCAGCCAUCUCGCAAGGAGCGGCGUGUUGUGUCGAGAACAAUCGGCUCGAAACUCCGCGAACGAGGAGGGAAAGGGACAGCUCCGAAGCUGAAAGGGUGCAGCACAUUAAUCAAAUCCGAGAACUUUAGGAACAUAUUCAAGAGAAAGAUCGUGUGUUCAUGGAGUUGCAAGAACAGGCUGACAAUGUUCAAGUUGUUGCCUCUGCUCAUUCGCCCCCUUCUUGGCAUGCCACCCUAUGCUCAACCCGGACAGGUGACUGCUUUGCAUCCAUUUGUAAUGCAUCAACAAGGUGCUCCUCAUCCAUCACAUGUUAUACCGUCUCAUUUUCACUCAGUAUCCACAUUGCCCUCCCUUCAAAAUUGACAGCAGAAGGCCAACAUGUUCCUACCCCUAAUCAAUAUCAAGAAACCGUACAAAAUGUGGUAAAAACUCGAUCUAAUCUUGACUAUGAAGCCUCUGGGAAUGGUCAGAUUCUUCAUGUGAAUAAUUUGGAUUCAAAUAUCAGCUGAGGAUUAGCUGCUGAUUCAAUCCCAUCAGCAAAUGGAGAUGGCAAGGUUAUGAUAAUAAUCUCCAGAGAAUCUGCAGCAAGUGUCUUCCCAUUUUCGAAGCGCACUUAGAUUGGAUCAUCUAGAAUAUGGCAACGCCUCUAAGGUUUGGAUAAAGUAGUGAGUAAUUGAUUGAGCAUUCCCCCAGCUUUUGCUUUCUUUGGUAACGGUCACGACUCACAAUGGAAUUGAGAGAUUGUGUUAUUUUAAAACAGACACAGGAGGAACAAGUUAACCAUGUUCAUGAUCAUGGAACGGGAAACAGGAGCCCAAUUGAAAAUAAUCCCGAUCUUGCUGGCCUGGCGUUAUCCGAGAGAGUUGCUAAUGUUAAGAAUUUCAGUGAGAACACCACAAAUAAUGGCUCGAGUAUUCGUGCAGCUGAUGCAUCUGUAUCUGCUGGACAGAAGAGUAUCACAGGAAACACUAUAGAAAGUUUUCUACUGGAUGAAAGAAUAUUAUUAGCAUCGAUAGCUCUCUCAAUAGGCUCUGGUGGCAGAAUUAGGAUUAGUUCAACAGUUAGUAAACUUGCAUAUUUGAAUUAGUCAACAAUGACGCAUGAUUGUUAUGGCCUACCUGGAACAGCUUCCAAAUAGACUUGGGAAAAUGCUCGCCCCUCUUCACUGGCAUGAUUACCAAAGGAAGUAUGGAAGGCUUGAUGAUUUUGUAGCUGGUCAUCCUGAAGACGACUACAUUAAGCUUCGUGAAGGGGCACAGGAAACCAUUGCAGCCUCAGCAGCAGCUGCUGCUGCUGCAGCUCCAUCCUCAUAAUCGACAUUGUUGCCUUCUGUAGCAGUCACUCCCACCGACUGAAGAAAACCUG